UACGUAGGGGGCAAGCGUUGUCCGGAUUUAUUGGGCGUAAAGAGCGUGUAGGCGGCCAAGCAGGUCAGCUGUGAAAACUCGAGGCUCAACCUCGAGACGUCGGUUGAAACCGCUUGGCUAGAGUCCGGAAGAGGAGAGUGGAAUUCCCGGUGUAGCGGUGAAAUGCGUAGAUAUUGGGAGGAACACCAGUGGCGAAGGCGGCUCACUGGACCGGUUCUGACGCUGAGGCGCGAAAGCGUGGGGAGCAAACGGG
rnacentral:rRNA from 1 species